UGAUUAUUGUAGAUAUGUAAUACACUUUGAAGUCCAGGAGUGUAAUACCUCCAGCUUUAUUUUUCUUUAUUAAGAUUGCUUUGACUAUCUGGGAAAUUUUCUGGCUCCAUAUAAACUUUAGAAUUUUUUUUCCAUUUCUGUGAAAAGUGCCCUUGGAAUUUCUAUAAGGAUUGCAUUGAACCUGUAGAUUAUAUAGUACAGUAUGGAUAAUUCAACAUUGUUGAUUCUUCCAAUCCAUGAACAUGGGACACCUGUCUUUUUCUUUGUAUCCUAUUUCUUAUUUCCCUUGUUACCUUUUUAUACCCACUUAAAUAGGAAAAUGAUCACUGCUGUCCAAUUAAAUCUCAUAAAAUAGAAAACAUUGUAUAAUUUUGAAUUUUUUUCAUUUCUUUUUUGAGUCAGAGUCUCACUAUGUUGUGCAGGCUGCCCUUGAACUCAAAGUGAUCCUCCUGCCUCAGUCUCUCAAGUGCUGGGAUUAUAGGCAUGUGCCACCACACCCGGCUUUAGAAUGUUUUUGUGCAGAUGCUGUGGAGGUGCCACAAAGUACCUCGAAGUUCACUGAAUGCAGGAGUCUGUUAGAGAAGGAGUGUAUGCAAUGAAGACUAAACUAGAUCACGUGCAGUUUAAACAAAAAAUACAACUCUGCUUCUUAGGAAGAGUUUCAUCGGCCCUGAACACCAGAGGAUACUUUAAGGAUGUGCAAACCACUCCUCCCUCAAGAGAUGAUGAAGCAAGCCUCCUUGAGUGGAAUCUCCAGCUAGUAUUCCAGGAGGGCUAUGCAUUAAAACAUAGAGAGGAAACAGAAAAGAAACUGCCCAACUGA
rnacentral:lncRNA from 1 species